rnacentral:rRNA from 1 species
AAACGUAGGUCACAAGCGUUGUCCGGAAUUACUGGGUGUAAAGGGAGCGCAGGCGGGAAGACAAGUUGGAAGUGAAAUCCAUGGGCUCAACCCAUGAACUGCUUUCAAAACUGUUUUUCUUGAGUAGUGCAGAGGUAGGCGGAAUUACCGGUGUAGCGGUGGAAUGCGUAGAUAUCGGGAGGAACACCAGUGGCGAAGGCGGCCUACUGGGCACCAACUGACGCUGAGGCUCGAAAGUGUGGGUAGCAAACAGGAUUAGAUACCCUGGUAGUCCACACUGUAAACGAUGAUUACUAGGUGUUGGAGGAUUGACCCCUUCAGUGCCGCAGUUAACACAAUAAGUAAUCCACCUGGGGAGUACGACCGCAAGGUUGAAACUCAAAGGAAUUGACGGGGGCCCGCACAAGCAGUGGAGUAUGUGGUUUAAUUCGACGCAACGCGAAGAACCUUACCAAGUCUUGACAUCCUGCGACGCACAUAGAAAUAUGUGUUUCCUUCGGGACGCAGAGACAGGUGGUGCAUGGUUGUCGUCAGCUCGUGUCGUGAGAUGUUGGGUUAAGUCCCGCAACGAGCGCAACCCUUAUGGUCAGUUACUACGCAAGAGGACUCUGGCCAGACUGCCGUUGACAAAACGGAGGAAGGUGGGGAUGACGUCAAAUCAUCAUGCCCUUUAUGACUUGGGCUACACACGUACUACAAUGGCGUUAAACAAAGAGAAGCAAGACCGCGAGGUGGAGCAAAACUCAGAAACAACGUCCCAGUUCGGACUGCAGGCUGCAACUCGCCUGCACGAAGUCGGAAUUGCUAGUAAUCGCAGAUCAGCAUGCUGCGGUGAAUACGUUCCCGGGCCUUGUACACACCGCCCGUCACACCAUGAGAGCCGGGGGGACCCGAAGUCGGUAGUCUAACCGCAAGGAGGACGCCGCCGAAGGUAAAACUGGUGAUUGGGGUG